GCUUUGACGGUUGACUGAAUGGGAGCAAGUGAGAUAUAGCCAGACUGUGUAGGAACUACAUGCAAGACAAACAAACAGUCAGACUAAGACACGACAUCAGUUAAAAAAAAACAGACAUUUUUAAAUAACAGUAAAUGAAAACUGUAAAUUACAGUACGUAAUGGUAAAAGGACAAAUAUGUUUAAUGUUGUAAUUGAAAAAAAUCUGAUUAUCCUUUAUAAAUUAUAUGCUGAUUCCAAAUUUGAUGGCAGCAUUGGUGGAUGUGUCGGUACUGUCUGUAGACUAGUUUAGCACCUGGACCCUUCCACCACAGAGCCAUGCUGUCGUAAUGUACACCUUCUUAGAUAGGUAUGCUUCCAGUGCCAUGGACACUCAUGUAUCCACAUACUAUCACAGGCGCUGGCUGUUAAACUGAGAGUUAUUACCACGGCAGGAGGUCACUGUCCUUUUUAAAUUAAAGGGCAGGGUGUCCAUGAUGUCCAAAAAGAGUGUCAGAUUUUGAUUUGUCAAAAUUCAGGUCAGUUUCUAACCUGAGGAUGGCUCUUCGUGGCUCUUCAAUACUCUUCAAGUAUUGGCUUCUGGCCCUGCUCUUCUUUUACAUUUAGAUUUAUCCAGAUUCCUUUGGUAUUAUAUGCUGUUUCUGGAAAAAUUCCCUCAUUCAUAUAAAUUUCAUGCGGACUAACAAUAUUCUGAAAUGUCCCUCUAUUUCUGUUUUUUUAAGAUUACUCUACUUUUUCAUUCUUUUGUUGUAUCAGUUCAAACUUUUUUGAUGUAUUUUGCCAGCAUCAAACUUAAAAAUGAGCUUAAAGUUUUCCUAAACAAUAAAAAUUUUCAGUUUCAACAUUUGAUGAGUUGUCUUUCCACUAUUUCCAGUAGUAUAUAGGGUUUAAAUGAUGUUCAAACUGCUCAUGCCAGUAACCGUCUGGUGCUUCAAGGAGGAGUGAACGGCCAGUUAAAACGGCACAAAAGUUGUCCUAUUAGUGAUGCAGAGUGUCACCUCCAUCAGGGGACACAGAGAAGCAGUCUCCUGGCUUAUAAUGGGCUCCAGGAGUGGUGAUAAAACCGGCAUCAAUACCCUGGGACUCUUUAAUGACCGAGGCCUUUGAUCGCAGGCGAAGAAGACUGAUGGAAGCAAGCCAUCUCAGGGAUUUUGUCAUUAACACUACCUGCAAUUAAAUCAUUUUUAUGGCUGCUCUGAUGUAGUCAAAGACAGGCUGAUUUAUCACUCAGAUCUUCUGUGUUUUCAUUCUGAAGUCAUUUUUUAUUGUGUUGCAAUUAAUUGGGUUUCUUUAAGUACUUAACCCAAGGCUGUGAUUCAUUGAGAAGCAUUGAUUUUUGAGUGCUACAUGUAUUUUUAUGAGACAGCAGCUUGUGGAACAUAACGAAAAAUAAAAUACAGGACAGAAAGAUUUAGUUCAGGGAUGCUGCUUAUACACUGGAAAUGACCAAAUUUCACACAAUCCUGUUAAACUGCAGAGUGUUCCUGUAUCCAACUAUGCUGUGAACACUAAUCUCUAAGCACUAUGUCCAAUCCUAAUCCACCAGUCACCUGCUAUUACAGCCCACAUCACCCUACGUCUAGUUCCCAAGCCACAAUGGGGAUAAUGUUAACACUGUGGCAGCUACAUUUAACAGUGAUGGCACCUCGGGUUACUGCUUAAAAAAAAGCCUAUCCUCUGAGCACUUUCACUUCUGUGACCAGGGAGGUACUACUCACUACUCGUCUGACUCACUGGCACCGACACGAGAGUACAACCUGAGUUUUCUCCAAUGAGAUCUCUUUGCAGAAAACAGCAGGCUGUCUUCCACUUAAAUAAGUUGGGAAAACUAAGCUGGGGGCACCAGGUGGACACUAAACCCAGAGCCCACUGUGCACUUAAGAAUCUCCGGUCCGGGUUCCUCUCACAAAAUAAGCCACAGCUAGGUGCAAAACACAGGAACUGAUAUAAAAAAAUUCCCCUGUGCUACAUACAGAGAUUAAAAGUUGUCUGAAAUUAUUUACUGCUGUAAUUUUGAGCAUGUUCAGUUAGAAUCUAAGCAGAAACAGCCUGUAAUUUCUGUUAGAAAGCAGAUAACCAAGAAAAAAAAGGAAUCCAUGAAAUGUUAGAUUCUCAAAUAUGAACUGGAUUUAUGCAGAAUAUGCUACCAGUGUUGCAUAAUGCAUCGCGCUUGUCUAGUUUGAGACAUGCAAAUCACCCCAAGUUGAGGAAAUCCACUCAUGGUGAUGGAAACCUUCCACAGUCUCAGCUAUGAAAUAUUUGUGAUUCUCAAAAUGUCAUUGAUGCAGUCAAAGAAAAGAUGAAGAGAGAUGGAUAAAUGUGGUGAAGAAAAGGAAAGGAGAAAGAAAAAACGGGAUGGAAAAUGAGAGUGAAAGACUAUAAGGCUUGCUUUGAGGAAUACAACACCAGCUGCUGCUGGCUUUCUCUCCCACUGUUAUUUAACAAGGGAUAAAAGCUGUUGUGCACUGCCAUGUGCACACUUUGGAGCUCAAAGAAGCUGUUUUGCAGGCAUUUUACAGGUAAUAGUCCCAUUCAUGCACAGUACCAUCCUGAAGUCUUUUAGAAGCAUGCAACAAAUGCUCAACAUAAAAAAGGAAAAAUAAUCCUUUCUGUGCACUGGUUGGCUUUUAAGCCUCAAAACUGGGAGUGCAGUUGUGAAUACUUGUUCGAAACAUGUUAUCCCUGUUGUUGAAUACUACACUCAGAGCAAUUUGAGUGCUAUUUAAUAGGGAUGAAGUGAUAGUAUUAGAGAGCUAUUAUACCUUUGUGAUACCUGGGGUGUAAGGCUUUUCAGGACACAAAAUGAGUACAUUUGAAAUGGAAAGGAGGCGAUACAGUCAGGCCUUUAUGAUGUAGACACAUUUUGGUCUGAAGACUGAGCCAAUAGGCUUUAAAUCCUAUUUAUGACGUCCACAAUUUCAUUACCUCAAAAAUAUUUCUCACUUCUUUUUGUGACGGACACAUUAAAGUGUUCAACACUUUUUUCUUAUUAUGUUAGAAACUCCAGCAUCUUUAUCGAUCAGAGGCCAUAAUACAUCAUAGCCUAUUUGGCAUUGUCCGCUUUCUGCAGGGGAGUGCAGCGCUCACUUGUUAUCUCAGUCAAUAACUCUUAACAGGUAGUGAGCUUCAAGUUGUAUCUGUAUCAAUAUUUGUGGAGAAACAUUACACAGAACAUUGUUUAGGAAUCAAUAGCUUUAAACUUUUAUCCCAAUCCUCAUAACUCACAUCAGACCCAGCUGACCUGUACUGUUGCCAAUAACUGAGCUCAUAAUGGGAUGGUAUUUCUCAUGAAAGAAAUACAUUGAACUUAAAAAAUGUGGAGAUUAAAGGUGAAAUGUAUUGGAGAAUUUUAAGAAGUAGGAAUAAAGAGCAUUUUCUCCAAUAGCCCCCAAAUAGAGAGAUUGAUAUGAUGAGUUGACAGCAGCUUGACAGUUUAGUGAGAAUCCCCUCGAUGUUUCACUUUUCUAUUUCCGACUAAAUGGACAAUUGGAGAAGGAUGACAGGGUGCGACAGACAUCACUUUGAAUAAAGACCGGGUGACAGUUCCUUCCUUUGAACCUCAGCCUCAGCUCCUCCUAGACUCUUAACCUCCUGGAGGAAAAAAAAGGUUCAAACAACCGAAUCGAUAGCAAUUUAGGGCAACACUCCUUGUCACUUCCUUCUCCUCCCACUUCUUCUUCAUCUCCCACCACCCAGGCUGCACCCUGGGAGACAAUUUGCUGUGCGACAUUGCUCUGAUAGGACAACAAAGAAAGCCUGGGACAAAUAGGUCUUUGGUGAGAAUUGAUGGGACUUGGACUAGACGGAUCCGGUGAUAAACAUGUUUCAUGCUCGCCAUGUCUUCGAUCUCUAUUCACAUGCAAUGCUUCCGGAAGGUGACUGGGAAAAAAUAUCCAGGUGUUUCUCCUCCUUGCACAGUGGAUGGAGAUUUGGACAUGCGAACAUCCAAACCACAUGCAUUUAAUAUUUGUCAAUAAAGAAAACAAAAGUUAUGGUAAAAUGGCACGCAAUCAAAACAAGCAAGUCUUCAAACAGAUAUUGAAGGUUGUUUGUACUUGAUGAAUUCAGCUAUUUCAGUUUGGGGGUCAAAAAAUUAAACUGCUCAAACUACUGCUUGAAAAAUAAUCUAUAAUUCUUAUAAUAAAUUAAGCAUCAGAGGGAAGAAAUCGGCGGCAAAUAGAUGGAUUUUGGACAAGUUGGAAUCAAAGUACAGUGACUUUCAAAAGACUGCAAACGAAGCUGACUAUCCAGAAUCACCUCCUGUGGUUAGAAAUGAUGUAACUGUAGUCAAAGCAGAUUUUCUUUUUUUUUUUUUCCUUUGAAAUUGUUCAUUUUUUCUUAUGUUUAAACUCAGGCACUAAGUCUUACUGUGUUUUUCUUGUUUGACACCCUCUGCCAUAUUUUUCACCAUUUCUUUGGCUGUCCAAUGGUGUCAGAGCUCUCAAAGACAGAUCCGUCACUCUUAGAUUUCAAAUGUCACUGCAUCAAACCCCUAUGUCACACAAAUUCAGCUUUUUUCCCCGCUGUUGGCUGGUGACUGCUGAGAUUUAAACAUCACAGUUGAGCCAAGCCAGCGCAGAUAUCUCAUAGUAUGAAUAACUCUUUUGUCCGCCUUGUCUGCUCUAACAGACAAGUUCUAACUUGGACAGCUCAGCAAGAAAUGUACAUAACUGAACUCACUGCUGACUGUACUUGGACUUAUUCUGAAACUGCCUCCAGUUCAAAGUUUUUUCUUUACAGUAUAUGUUAAAGUUUCUUGAAGUCUUUGGAUGUGUGGGAGAUUCUCUCCAACAGUAUUUCAGAUUGAGAAUGUUAGCUUACAAAUGUUGCCAUUGCUAAUGCUAUCGUCAUUCCUAUUGCACUGCACUGCUGAGUCGACCAAAACUCUGAUUGGUCGACUCAAUUUUUAUCCAAGUCAAUUUACAGUCAAUGGUUAAUUUCAUCAGGAGGAAUGUGCUAAUCCAAGUGCUAAUGCGGGUAUUUUCAGAGCACUCCCGUUUCUCAGGAAACAGCCUGUCUCAGAACACCCCCCUUGUUUUCACCAUUCUGGAUUCACCCAACCCACUGGAGACCGGCUGGAGACAGGAAGAGUGGCCAUGUUGAUCAACGUCCAGUGGUUUGCUGAAUAUAAUAUUUGUAUAAUUGCCUUAUUGUGUUGAUAUCAGUAUAUUUUCACCCUGCUGAGCCGCGCUCCACCGAGUCACAAUCCGCCAAACCGUGUUGUCCCCUGCCGCUAAAGGGUUUGCUGUCAGAGUUUGAAAAAUCCAACCCCUUGAUUAGUCGAUUUUUGGUCGAAAAUUUUAAGGUUUCAGUCGACCAAGAAUUUUUUUGAUUGAUUACAGCCCUGCAACUAACCUUCUGAAUCUUUAGUUGUCGACUACAGAAAAUGUUCAUGGGUCUUUGGCUUAUGUUCAGCCCUACAUCUGUGAUCUCUACAGGCUAAUAAAACACACAUCCCUCGCUAUCAAUAUCACAUGGUCUUCUUCAUCUCCUCCUGCCAUUAUCUUCAGUGUGUCCUGCAGGGAUAAACUGAGCAUGAUGCUCUAUAACUCACCUGCUGUCUUGCCCACCAUCUCUGCUAUCUACACUCUACUGGGUAAUCCACAACCACCUCCUACAGUCAUUUUAUGGAGCCAUUAAAUUUCAGUAGGUGGCAAAUAAAGCUAUUUCUAGAUUGUAGGUUCAUCAUAAAUAUCUUCAGGUAUUUAUUCCAUUAAAAAGAGCUUGGAACGAGCCUGACAACAUGGAUCAGAUAAUUAUUGCAUGGAUCAGUCAUACCUUCAGGACCAGAGGAAUCUGUUAGCCAUAAGUUACGGCAUGCAAAGUAUGCAUUUAAUGCAACUGCAUGACUUGACAGGUAGCUUUAAAACGCUAACUUAUGUCGCAGCCCUUUGAUAGAUGAUUUCCUGUGACACUGAUGCCUCUUUAGAUGGCACAGCAUGUAACACUCCUUGGCACAUGGGCCCAGGGACAUAUUACUACCAUUAGCCCAUACAUUAACAUCAAAGCAGUGAUUAAUAAAUCAUCAAGACAUUCGUUUGAGGAUUAAUGCAUUUCACUUCAAUGCAACUCAUUUUCUUUUCAGCUUCAUUCAGGUUUCACAAUGGGAUAACUUAGUUUCUUCCCCAUCACGCAUAAUGUGCUGCUGUUUUUGAAAGAAAUAACCAUUUAAAUUCCAGAACUGAGAUCUUGGUUUGCUUUGUGGUCAGUGAACCACACUCUCUGCAGGCUGCUGUAAAUUUUUGGCUGCAGUUAUCUGAAAGCUUGCCUUUUGGGAGCUCACUGAAGCAACAACCACUUUUUGAAAAACUGCGUAAUUUGUCUCUGCAUUUAGGGUUGUUUUGUCUGAGCGGCCUUAAAGGUCAGCCAAAUGAUCUGAGCUGCCUCUUUGUGUUUUUAGCACUCCAAAUGAUCGGCAAUUUUAACAUCGUUAGUGAUUAUAAAGAGUCAGCUCCACUUUCAGGGUGUGUGUAUGUGUGUGAGUGAGGUGGGGAAGGCUCUCUUCUCCUUUUAAUUCAAUAUGUAUGCAUGUAAGUGAAUGACAGUUUUCAUGUAAUAAGUUAACAAGCUUUGCAGUUUUACAGUCACAGUUUCAUUUGUGCUUAGCAAGAUUUCAUUUAAUAAUCGGGGUGUUUUAUUACCUUUGAUCACAAUAAGUGGAAUCCAUUUAAUUGAUCUUGCGGAUUUGCAAAAUGAAAUUCCAUCUGUGGGUGAGUUUAAAUUUCCAUCUACAGGAUGAAACACAGUUGAAGGUUAAAAAUUAAACUAGACUCAGACUUUUUUCCUUUGGUAUGAUGUUUUCAGGGCAAAAGACUCCAAAAAAUGUUUUUUUUUAGGGGACCUCCGAAUAUGACAUUACCCAAAAGCUGAAUACUGAUCUUUUACAUCUGUUUCUGUCAUGAGCUCUGCAUAAAACAUUUACGUAAUACCCUAAUAAAAUGAAAAUAGAAUCAUAAAAUAUGCAUUAGUUCAUAGAUUUUCUAGCAUGUUUUUUUUCUAUGGGUCAUAUGAAUCACCGUUAUAUGCCAGCUUUUAAAGACUGCACUAACAUUUGUUUGUAAUAACACAGCAUGACCCAAAUGCUGAACUUCAGGGCUUUAUAGGAAAAAAAGAGAGAAAAACACACCGACGAGGCUGAACAAGAGAUCUCUAUGAGCUUAUUUUUGAACUACAAAUAUGGGGAUCCAUUCUAAAGUGCACUAAAAGAAGAGGAAGCCGAGGAAGAAAAAGG
rnacentral:lncRNA from 1 species